GGAAAAUCCCCCUUUUAGCCUUCUCGACCCCCUUAUGCCCAAAUCUGGGCUUAAAUCCUUCAAAAUGUCAGCAAAGAGGUUCAAAACCACACAAAACCUUUCGGUUUCUAGUCACCGAUCCUCCGGGGUGGCUCUCUCGGCCGUCGUAUAGCGCUUCCAAAAAGCAAGGUGAAGGUCACAAAGAUCCGGGGAGCUUGGCUUGCGGCGCUGUUGCCCCUUAGAAACCCUAAGGUUUCUUCGUAUGCUUUGGGCCAGUUUUGGGCCAGGACUUGUAUUGGGUCUCUGUUUAGUGGGGAUUUGAGUAUAUAAUUUUGGGCUUUUAAAUUGGGUCAAUGUAAUGGACAUUUGGGCCUUUAUUUAUUUUUUAUUAUCUUUA